rnacentral:lncRNA from 1 species
CUCCCGAAACGGUCGGUCAUUACGUGGAAUAGUUAAAAUCCUGUUCAAGAUAUUAAACUUUUGUUGGGAUUUCUUGGACCUUCUUUUAUUCUUUUUAGUAGCUAAGCUGCUGCUGGCGGUGUCUAUAUUCUUUUAUUAGAAGAUCACCGUUGCAGUGAUUCCCAACGAUCGGAUGGUAAUUCAGCACCAGCCUCCCUUUCUUUCCGCUAUAUUAUGAAUACAUUCCGCCCGCCGCGGAUCAGCUCGAAACCCUAGGAAAGCGUUAGAAAGAAGUACGGCAGGCGGGGUUACAUUUCAAAAAAAAAAAAAAAAAAAAAAAAAAAANNNNN